ACUUCAUGGUUAGGGCAUUGAAAUUUUUUUUCAUUAAAUCUAUCCCAAGAUUCAUAUAGAAUCACUCCAUUAAACUGACAAAAUUUUGUAAUUUUGUCUUGUAAUU